GGCAGAUCAGGUGGCUCAGAGCUAGCACAAUAGACUGUGAGGGGAAGCCGCACUCCCUGAUCAGGGCAGAUCAGGAGGAUUCCAAGUGUAAUUGGCCUCCAGGGAGUAUGUAAGUCACUCUUGUACACCCCCUCAGACCUCCUUAAUGCCUUGCCAGCUGGAAGGAAAAGAGCCUCUUGCAUUGCCCACAAAGGAAGCAGAGAUUGAGGGGAGAAGAACUGGAGAAAUUAAAAAAGUGGAAAGAGACAGCAACACAAAUAAAGAGGUUGAGUACCAGUAGAAACCUCAUAUUUACCUGGAAGAUUACUUUUAGGAAGCUUGAAGAAUUCUCUCUUCCAACUUGGUUAAUCUGAGUUCUGUGGCACCUACAAGAGAAAUGGCUGCUUAUAUGUGACAACCUGCAGAUCUGAGCAGCAGGGGAACAAAGGCAGGGCCAACACAAUGGCACUGGUCCCGUUGAGUCCUGGGGAGUCCUCAGCUUUCAGGAGUCCCCUGAAUAUGGGGCAACCCCACAGGGAUUUCCUGUAAGAUUUUAAAUGAAGAAAGUCUUCUACUGCUGUAUAAAGAAAAAAAAAAGAAGAAGAAAGGGAUGGAUCUCACUAUGUUGCCAAGGCUGGCUCGAGAACUCCUGGGCUCAACCAAUCCUCCUGCCUCAGCCUCCCAAAUAGCUGGGACUACAGGUGUGUGCCGCCACUCUCCCCUUUUUAUUGGAAGAGAGUUCAUAGAGGACUGAGCACCUAUUUAGUAUAUGUUUCUAGGUUUGGUUACAAUUUGUUAAGAAAAGUAGAUUUGCAAACUCACUACUUUUGAAAUAUUAAAAAUACAUGCCAUGAAUUUCUACUUCAGCACAGAUUUGGACAACCACCUUAUGUAUGGAAAGAAAAUUUACUGAAUUUAGUGCUAGGCAUAGAUGAGAAUUUCUACUUGAAAAAAGCCCUUAAAACUUUUCCUGCUGUACUGUUCAAUUAUUAAUAUAUUUAAUGCACAGACGCAGUUCACAAUGUGGACUGAUGUGAACUUGUGUUGCAUUGGCUUUAUAAAUUAGGACAGUUGAUUUUACUUAUCCUCCUGAUUUGCCCAGAUAUGAUCUCUAUAAAAAAUCACAGAAAUUUUUGUAAAAUAAUCUUGCAGUUCUUGUUUUUGCUCUUUUUCUUAUUUUUUUCUCAACAAAAAAUUAUUUCUGAUGUUCUAUUUUCACUUAAAUGAAAACAUUCCAUGGAAGAAGUACAAAGAAGUAAUGCUUUGAAAUGACAGUCCCUGAAUUUUCAAGAAAGCCAGAUUCUUCCACAUCCAUAGUCUUCCUUUGUCCUGUUAAUAAUCCUCAUGAUGAGAGGAAAGUUACUGCCUAGUGUUUUAUGACUGGGAGAAUGGAGUAACAAGAAUCUAAGUGGUCAGAAGUAGAGAUUGUCAAGAAUACAGGCUCUCAGGUUUUGGUGUCUGUGCUCCAUCAGCCAAACUUUGCCCUUUUCUAGAAAAGACCCAAGUGGUGAAGUCACUAAUUUUGUCAUUGUUAUUAUGUACUGGAGAAAAAUUAAAUGAUCCACCUCUUUAUCAUAUACUGAACUUUCAUGAUAAGUAACACAUGUGGAGUAACCAAGGCUUAGCCAACUAGGGAUUAAUGUUAGAAAAUGAAUUUUGCUUUCUCUAUACUUGUUUAGAAAUAGCAAAAGUUCUGUAAGGGGAUGGCUAGGGGCCAAUGGGAGAGGUGAAGGACCUUUAUCACAGUAUUUGUUUGGUCCCCAUCAAAGUUCCUGGGUGCCAUGGAAAAGUGUUUUUCUUUUCUGGACCCUUUACUUCAUCUGCAAAAUGGUGAGGCAGUUAAACUCUCUGGCUUGCUUUUAUCUUACAGGCAUUCAGUGAGGUAUAUAACCUGCAAUAUUUCUUAAAAGUUGUAUAGGUUUUGCUGACCUGAAUUCUUUCAUGUUCUUCUUCAUCCUACAUGUGUAACUAUUCCAUGUUAUCGGUCCCCACGAUGAAAGAUAAUGAAAUACCUUCAGGAAAGGCAGUUGAACUAAAUUUUCAUCUUUAUUUUGCUGAGGCAAUCUAUUCCUGCCUUGCUGUAAAGCUAAGGAAAGACUCUCUGGAUGUAUUAAAAUAUUUUCAGAAAUGUAUUUUUACAAUUGAAACAAAACAACUUUCUCUUAAAAAAAGAAAUGCUUGCUUAUAUUUACUUGUGAGAAAGCUGUGAAGAAGUUGAUCAAUGUAUAGUUAAAAUAUUAUCUUACAUGAAUAAAAUUUGAGCAAAUUUAUAAUUUCUGUUUUCUAUAAGUUAUAGAUUUCAGGUCAUCCUUCAUUUUAAUCUUUGUUUUUCUUUUCAGGAAAAACAAUGCCUGUCUUUGUCUGACUCAAAAAGCAUGCUGAAUGGACUUUUCAUCCAUGUGGCUGUGAUCAGUUCCUAAAGCAGAGGAAUCUGCAGCCUAAUGACACAUCAGGAAUUGAUGGAACCCCAGCAGACAGCUUCUAUGAGGAGAUUAGGACUCUCAGAAGAGACACCAGAGGCGUGGCCACACAGAGAAAAAGAUCAUGUGGGGACACAGUGAAAAGGCAGCCAUCAUAAGCCACAGAGAGAGGACUCAGAAGAAACCAACUCUGCUGACACCUUCAUCUUGAACUUCUAGCCUCUAGAACUGUGAAAAAACAAAUUUCUGUUGUUAAGACACCCGGUCUGUGGUAUUUUGUUAAGACAGCCCUAGCAAACUAACACAAUUUUGUACACUAAAUAAAGUCCAAUUCAAUUUUAAUUUUAUAGAAACUGAAACAAAUAAUUUAAAGAUUUACUUAGUAAAUUACUUCAGAUUGGGAUCAAAUGUGUACAUGAAUUAUGAAAAUGUAAGAAAUGGAUAUUUAAAUAAGUAUACCAGAACAUAAAAAUUCCAGUGCCUGGUUUUUUUUUUUUUUUUGAAAGCCACUUAUCCCAACAAUAAAACUGAUGCUCAAAAUA
rnacentral:lncRNA from 10 species